AUGUCUACCACUGAUAAGCUCAAUGCUGUUGAUGGUGUGCUUCUUUCUUCUUCUAAUGCGACAGAGUACAGGAGUAUUGUUGGUGGGCUCCAGUACUUGAUGAUCACGCGACCAGACAUUUUCUAUGCUGUUAACCGAGUCUGCCAGUAUCUGCAGUCACCCCGUGACACUCAUUGGUCUGCUGUUAAGCGGAUUUUGCGCUAUAUUCGUUUCACGGUGGCUCAUGGUUUGCAUAUUCGGCCGUCUGACUCUGGUUGUCUUUCAGCAUAUUCUGAUGCAGACUGGCCUGGCAAUCCGGAUGACAGGCGAUCCACGGGGGGUUAUGCUGUCUUCUUUGGCUCUAACCUGAUUGCCUGGAGUGCUCGGAAACAGGCUACUGUCUCGCAUAGCAGUACUGAGGCUGAGUAUAAGGCUGUGGCCAAUGCCACAUCAGAGAUCAUCUGGGUACAGUCCUUGCUUCAGGAGUUAAGUAUACCCCAAUCACAGCCUCCUGUUCUUUGGUGUGAUAACAUCGGUGCUACAUACCUUUCUGCAAAUCCGGUAUUCCAUGCCCGAACGAAACACAUUGAAGUUGACUAUCACUUUGUGCGUGAACGUGUCUCUCAGAAGCAACUACAGAUCAAGUUUAUUUCUUCCAAGGAUCAACUUGCUGACAUCUUCACCAAGCCAUUGCCUUUGCCACAGUUUGAGACUUGCAGGCGCAAUCUUACCCUUCUAGAUUCAUUAGAAAGUGGCUAA
rnacentral:rRNA from 1 species